UCAGUUGGUAGAGCAGUUGACUUUUAAUCAAUUGGUCGCAGGUUCGAAUCCUGCACGACCCACCAAUCGUUCGGUGGAAACGAGAAUAAAGCGUGAAGGAUAACGUUGCGUCAGCAACGGCCCGUAGGGCGAGGCGAAGCCGAGUCAUCCUGCACGACCCACCG
rnacentral:sRNA from 1 species